UAUUAAAAAUUUCAUCUAUUUUUACUAUUAAAAACUGACGUUGCUGAUUAAAUAACUAAAUAGUUAUACAUUGUGUGCUAUGUGUGUUUCAUUUUGAUAUACAAAGACCAAUUUUUAGUAUUAGAAAUAGAUGGAGUUUUAAAUA
rfam:Gossypium raimondii Chr13_contig_12, whole genome shotgun sequence.